ACUGAACAUGUAUAAAUGUGGCCAUGGAAGACCAUUUGAGGAGCCAAUGUCCAAUUAGUGUGGGAUAAAAGGUGGAAGCCAAAAAUUGUUUACAAUAAGGUUGUUUUUUUCAUUCCCUCUGUGAGACAGAGGGACCCAGGCUGGAGACCACAGAGUGGGUGUGGCUAUGCCACGCAAACCUCAGGUCUUUUGACAUUAUACUACGCAAACCAUGAGGUCAGAGGAAGGUUGUUUCUUCCAAGGCACAAAGAAAUGAUUUUUCGCUCGCUCCGUGAGAACAAGCCACAAAUAAUGAACUCUCGAGCCCUCCGCUAUCACGUUUGGAUUCACACGCGUCAACUCCAUUCUGGAGCGGAACAAAAGGGCGCUAGACGAAACAUUGGUGGGGAGGGCACGGCGUGCACCGGACAUGCCAUGUUGGGAUUACACAAGUGUUUUUCAAGUGUUUCAAGUUUUCAAGUUUCUUGCAAAAACCUUUAAGAGGAGUGGAACCAUGACCAAGUAAGAAACCUUUUACAGGUAUGUAUAACAUUACAUACUGUAUAAAUCCCAUUUGGUAACAUUGUAUAAUUUGGGGGGCAUUUUGAUGAUAAAAUUCAAAUGCAUUUCUUAAAAUGAGUCAUUUUCAUAUAGUUAGAACAACAAAUGGAAAGAAAAAUAUCAAAGUAAACUUUUUUUUAUGCUGCCUUGGUUUUGUACGGGUUAAUGUCUCCAAAGUUGAAACAACCACAUUCAAAGUCAUAUUUUUCUAAGUUAUUGACGAUUUUAAAUUUUAGGUAUUAAUAGUGAAGGCAAUCCUUUUGACAAACCAUAUUGCGGUUGAAAUGCAUUUCUUGCACAACAGCAAAGAAAAAAAGUGCAUCUUGUUUAAGGGACACAUCUUCAUUAAAAAAAAAAUCACAAAAUUUACAUGUGUUGCCCCUUAAAUUCUGCAGACACAAACACAUGAAUGAUUCUAACUGCUCAAUACUCCUAUCAAUAUACAAUGAUAAAAGGGUAAAGACAUUUAAUCAGAAUAAGCUUUAAUGGCCAAGUGUGUAAAAACACACAAGAAUUUUUUUUCUCCAGCAGUCGGUGCUACUCACUCACAUCCAUUUAUUUUGCUGUCUGCUAUUGCGUGAAUACAAAAUGGACACCUUAUCCUACCUUCAACUCAUAGAUCCCUCUGGUGUAUUGCAACAACAUAACGAGGCUCGCUCUAACGGCAUUAAUGGUAAAGACAGCUUUGAGUGACAAAGGAGGACUGUUUGUAAAAGAACCAAAACUAAAGAAAGAACCUCUAAGGCACUAAAAUGCUAGGCGUAUUAAGCAACAGGAGAAAAAUCCAUUAAGUCCAAAAAUUAAAUUGCCCUCUUCAGCAAAUCAUGAAAUUUAAUUUUGAACACCUAACAGGAAAUACAUCUUGGCGUUAGAAGGUUGAAAAAUAUUCAGUUACAAUAUUUCUUUUCUUCGAAACAAUUAUAACCUCAUGAUGGAUAACAGCAGCCACUAAUUCAAAUACUCAUAUAAUUUAAAUAGGUUUUCAAAUGGAAAUUCAGUAGGCCAUGGCAAUACCGAUCAAAUUCCAAGAAAAUGACCCAUAUUAGAAGGACUUUGGCGUUACUUCAAAUCAGAAUUGUUUGGCCUUGGCAAAGGUCUGUGAUCGACUUACAUAAAUUCCAAGUGAGUCUAAAAAAACUAAAUAAAUACCACCAUACACAGAAGCAUUCUAGCUCAUCCAUGCUUUAUAUCAACCCAUAUUCAAAUAUGUAUUGAUUUUUCAUCAGUCUGCUGCACGCGUUAAUCCGAGGGGCAAACGUAUUGUUGUGCAGAAAGAAAGGGGAGCCUCAACCCUGCUGCAUUCCAGGUACAGGCCGCCACUACACUCCUUUGUCAGCAUCUGCUCGGCUGAACUAGAAAGCGUUUUGGACUCAAGCCGCACUUUUACUCAGACAUGAAAAGCUGCACCUAAUUCCAACCGUCGCAUGGCUGAUUAACCACAAUUUAUGAUCAAACAGCUGACUUACAGGAUCAACGUAUGACACCCUGCUCGCAGGUCCAUGUGGGCUUUCCUCUGUUCACAGCCACAUACGCUGUUUGUGUCACACCAUCUCCCAAAGUCGGUAACACCGGCCCGUUCAGUGUGUCAGCACACAAAUAUACAGUUAUUAGUGCACUGUGUUUACUAUACAGUCUUAAACAACUUGGUUCUUUGCUGACAAAUGAAGGAAGAAAUAAUGAAAAGGACAAAGCAUAAGCUUCAACAGUCCACUGAACCAGUCAAUUGAUUUAAAAGAUGAAAAACGUCACGCAAAGGUCCAAACUCUGUGGAGGAACUGAUCCCCUUGUGUCAUCAAGCAGCAGUUUAAACCUUAGAAUAAGGACCGAGCAGCUUGAUUCAUCCUGUAAUAUCGAAUGGCAGAGCAGCAGGAAUCAGCACCGAGACUGCAGCCAAGGAGAGUGGAGUAUAUGCACGCCACUCAAAUUGCAAUCUCUUUUUUUUUUUAUUCUAGAGGGCAAUUGUGCUUGUUUGCUAGAUUUAUGUUGCUUUCAUGACACUGAAGUGUAAGUGACUGCAAAGUACGCAAAAUGCCACGUGAUCGGCUUUGUGGACAUUGCAGUAACCUUGUGCGUCUUGAUCUUUAAAUGUGGAAUAGAAUAUUUGAAAUAAAAUCUUGUUUGAAAAUCCUACACAAAAGAAUUCCUUGAAAAGAUGUAUAUAAAGAUUUAUGUAUAAUAGAUGACUGACAUGUUGAAGCCACUUCAUCUUUACAUAAUGUUUCUGAGACUGAUGUGAGAGGAUCAAAGAAGUUUAUGAUGAAAUUAUACGCUUUAAAUCUACAGUCGUGUGACUUGAAAUAAAACCACUGGAAGAA